GAGCAGAUGAACUUUUUUUCAAUCUGAUAAACAAUCAAAUCAAAUUUCAAUUUAAUUGUUGAUGCGUUAAUUAUGAAUCGUAAUUUACAACUUUCUAUUAACAUGAUGCUAGUAUUUCUCAAGGAUGAAGGAGAUGACAAUUUACUUGGAAAAAUGAAUUAAUACUCUGUGCGAUAUGGUUUCAAACGAUUGGUUUGGUGAAUUGGUGGUGCAAGAGCAAUUUGUUUUCAUUUAUUCGUAUCAAUCUAAUGUCAAGUUGAUCAUCUUUGAUUAACUUUUCAUAUUCACUGUGGCAAAAAUGUGUACGUCCAAAGGAAAUGAAAACAACAAUUCCAAGAAAAUGGAGAUAUUUAUAGAUUAUUCAUCGGUGCAACGGUAGCUACUUCAAUCGAUGAUUAACAAUCAUUACGAACCUCAAUUAUCUCUGAAAAAUUGAUAUGAUAUUUAAUUAUCUUGAUCAAUUUAGCUACGUUCGUUUGAACCUGAUUGAUUAAUGAUCUUAACUCAUGGAAUUGUAUGAAUGAAGGUUCACUCAUUUGUUGACUCGAAUUUUCCUGAAAAUCUUGGCCAUUUCUUAUUCUUACCGAGAGAUUUUUAUCAUCAAACCAAAGAAAAUCAAUGCAAACUUUUGAUUGCAUUCAGUUUGUGAAUCCGCAAUCGAAUUCACGUUAAUUUUCUGAGCCAAGUCGACUUCGAAGAUGAAAAAUUCUCACGAGAUUGCGGCGAAUUUGUCCCCAAUUGUACAGAAUUUGCGCUUCUCUCAAAUUUCUUUCUUUUCUUUCUUACCUCUCUCUCUUUCUUCAAUUUUAUCUCUUUUUAUUUUCUCUCUCUUUCUGUCUCUGUCUCUCUUUCACUUUCUUGGAGAUUCCUCGUGCCAAUCGCAUCAUGCACGCGCUUAGAUGUUACUGUUUUGUGUUAUGAUUAGUUAAUGUCCAUUUUUAUUGGUUUAUAAAUGAAAAGUAAUCAAAAUGUAAAUCUCAUUAUCAACAUAAAGCUACAAUUAAAGUACAAGUUAACCGAA